GACGAACGCUGGCGGCGUGCUUAACACAUGCAAGUCGAACGGAAAGGCCCUGCUUUUGUGGGUUGCUCGAGUGGCGAACGGGUGAGUAACACGUGAGUAACCUGCCCUUGACUUUGGGAUAACUUCAGGAAACUGGGGCUCAUACCGGAUAUGAGCUCCUGCUGCAUGGUGGGGGUUGGAAAGUUUCGGCGGUUGGGGAUGGACUCGCGGCUUAUCAGCUUGUUGGUGGGGUAGUGGCUUACCAAGGCUUUGACGGGUAGCCGGCCUGAGAGGGUGACCGGCGACAUUGGGACUGAGAUACGGCCCAGACUCCUACGGGAGGCAGCAGUGGGGAAUAUUGCACAAUGGGCGGAAGCCUGAGGCAGAAACGCCGCGUGCGGGAUGACGGCCUUCGGGUUGUAAACCGCUUUCGCCUGUGACGAAGCGUGAGUGACGGUAAUGGGUAAAGAAGCACCGGCUAACUACGUG
rnacentral:rRNA from 1 species